rnacentral:lncRNA from 1 species
ACCAAGGGGUGCCUCAUGAUUUUGGGCUCAACUUGGGCUGCUGCAACAGAAGCUUUCUCUUGUUCUGAUCCAUUCGCUGCAGCUGCAGCCGUUCCAGGCACCAACACAUGAGUUUGCUUUUCAUCAGCCAUUGCAGUGGGUUGGGUUUUUGUUUCUGGGUUUAUGUUGUUGUUUUUUUCUCUUUUUUUUUUUAAUUUUUUAAUUUUAAUUUUUUAAUUUUCUCUCGUUUGUUUGUCUUGUUUCAGAAUUUCCAGAAGAACUGGAUAUAUCUGAUGCCUCCCUUGCUUCGGAUUGCAAUGGUUCAAUCGGCUCUAGGGUUUUGAGUCGGGAAGAGAGGUAGAACCUGCUCAUGCCAAGUUAGAAUUGUAAUGAUAUGUUAUUUAUUUAUUUAUUUUUUUUGUCUAAAGAUGAACUUUAUUAUAUUCUAAUAGAUACGUUUAUAUCUU